CUAAGUCCUGGGGCCUUAUUCUGGGCACUUUGGGCCGCCAGGGCAGUCCUAAGAUCCUGGAGCACCUGGAAUCUCGACUCCGAGCCUUGGGCCUUUCCUUUGUGAGGCUGCUGCUCUCUGAGAUCUUCCCCAGCAAGCUUAGCCUACUUCCUGAGGUGGAUGUGUGGGUGCAGGUGGCAUGUCCACGUCUCUCCAUUGACUGGGGCACAGCCUUCCCCAAGCCGCUGCUGACACCCUAUGAGGCGGCCGUGGCUCUGAGGGACAUUUCCUGGCAGCAGCCCUACCCGAUGGACUUCUACGCUGGCAGCUCCUUGGGGCCCUGGACGGUGAACCACGGCCAGGACCGCCGUCCCCACGCCCCGGGCCGGCCCGCGCGGGGGAAGGUGCAGGAGGGGUCCGCGCGUCCCCCUUCGGCCGUGGCUUGCGAGGACUGCAGCUGCAGGGACGAGAAGGUGGCGCCGCUGGCUCCUUGACGCGCUCCCGGGCCUCAGGGUCCUGCCCUCCGGAGGAGCAGCCUCGAGGCUGGUGGUUUUCAGAGCAGGAGGCCGACGUUUUCUCCGCAUUGGAAGAGCCCGCCGUCUGCAGGGGCCUGGAGGAAUCACUGGGGAUGGUGGCACAGGCACUGAACAGGCUGGGGCCUUUUGACGGCCUUCUUGGUUUCAGCCAAGGGGCUGCGCUAGCAGCCCUUGUGUGUGCCCUGGGCCAGGCAGGCGAUCCCCGCUUCCCCUUGCCACGGUUUAUCCUCUUGGUGUCUGGUUUCUGUCCCCGGGGCAUUGGGUUCAAGGAAUCCAUCCUGCAAAGGCCCUUGUCAUUGCCUUCGCUCCAUGUUUUUGGGGACACUGACAAAGUCAUCCCCUCUCAGGAGAGUGUGCAACUGGCCAGCCAAUUUCCCGGAGCCAUCACCCUCACCCACUCUGGUGGCCACUUCAUUCCAGCAGCUGCACCCCAGCGUCAGGCCUACCUCAAGUUCUUGGACCAGUUUGCAGAGUGAAAGAUCAAGAAAUGUCUCUGCUCCUACAUCCAGCUCCUCUAGGGGCAGCCUCCGUCAUCCAUGCCCUCCCAGGACCCUCCACUCACUGCUGUGAGUGCGCCUCACCAGAACCAGUUAAGAGACAACUAUCAAUUCUUGAGACCCAAAUUAUAAGGGCCCUGCCCUGUACUGAAGAAAAGGGGAGCACAAGGCCUUAAUGGACAUUGACUUGUGAAAACGCAAACAUGAAUAUGGUUGGAGAGCCCUGGAUUAGGAGGGUGACAUGGGGAAGGCAGAGGCUGGCACCAUGGUGACUGCCACAUAAUAAAGUGGUGAUUU
rnacentral:lncRNA from 1 species